UACGUAGGGGGCAAGCGUUGUCCGGAUUUAUUGGGCGUAAAGAGCGUGUAGGCGGCCAGGUAGGUCAGCUGUGAAAACUCGAGGCUUAACCUCGAGACGCCGGCUGAAACCCUCUGGCUAGAGUCCGGAAGAGGAGAGCGGAAUUCCUGGUGUAGCGGUGAAAUGCGCAGAUAUCAGGAAGAACACCGGUGGCGAAAGCGCUCUGCUGGACCUUAACUGACACUGAGGGACGAAAGCUAGGGGAGCGAAUGGG
rnacentral:rRNA from 1 species